rnacentral:rRNA from 1 species
GACGAACGCUGGCGGCGUGCCUAACACAUGCAAGUCGAACGGGGUGUACCUUCGGGUACACUUAGUGGCGAACGGGUGAGUAACGCGUGAGAAACCUGCCUUUCAGUGGGGGACAACAGUUGGAAACGACUGCUAAUACCGCAUAAUGUUAUUUGGGGGCAUCCUUGAAUAACCAAAGCUUUAUGUGCUGAAAGAUGGUCUCGCGUCUGAUUAGCUAGUUGGUGAGGUAACGGCUCACCAAGGCGACGAUCAGUAGCCGGUCUGAGAGGAUGGACGGCCACAUUGGGACUGAGAUACGGCCCAGACUCCUACGGGAGGCAGCAGUGGGGAAUAUUGGGCAAUGGGGGAAACCCUGACCCAGCAACGCCGCGUGAAGGAAGAAGGCCUUCGGGUUGUAAACUUCUUUUACCAGGGACGAAGAACGUGACGGUACCUGGAGAAAAAGCAACGGCUAACUACGUG